CAAGCCCCAAAAUCGAUAGCUCAAACUUGAUCUAAAAAAUCCUAGCUCAAGAAUCAACGAUUCCGGCAAAGGAUUGAGACCAAACCAUCGCCUUUCCAAAGCCACCAUGAACACCAUCCUUGCAUCCCUGCAUACCCAAAUCUAACACAGAAAAAGAAAAAAAAAAGGAACAAAAUCAUCGCCUCCCAAAGCCACCAUGAACACCAUCCUCGCAUCUCUGCAUACCCAAAUCCAACACAGAAAUGAAAACAUAAGAAUAGACCAGAUUAAGAAAUGAAAACAGACAAAUAAAUAGACCAGAAGGAC
rnacentral:lncRNA from 1 species